rnacentral:rRNA from 1 species
UACGUAGGCAGCAAGCGUUGUUCGGAAUUACUGGGCGUAAAGAGUGUGUAGGCGGUGCUCUAAGUCUGUUGUGAAAUCUCCCGGCUUAACUGGGAGGGUGCGGCGGAGACUGGAGUGCUAGAGUGUGGGAGAGGUAAGCGGAAUUCCUGGUGUAGCGGUGAAAUGCGUAGAUAUCAGGAGGAAUACCGGUGGCGAAGGCGGCAUCCUGGACCAUUACUGACGCUGAGGCGCGAAAGCUAGGGGAGCAAACGGG